GAUACUGAGUGAAAACGAGCAUUUCACCCCCCCCUUUAAUCAUAACACAGACUGUUUGCUUACUCAAUCCAGAUGAAUAUUGAAAAAUAUUUUAAACGAUUUAAAAAGGCUCGUCCAGAGGAGAAAAUACAGUCUGGACCAGAGGUAAUAGCAAAGCAAAGAAACACAUGUUGAAGAUUAUUAUUCUGACCUUUGUGAUAAGCUAUUCGGUUAAUUUAUUUUGAAUAUUUCCAGGCUUCAUUCAGUGCUGCUGAAGCAGCAAGAGAGGCGCAGGGAACGUUAGCUGUAGAGAUGUAGAAGAGGAGGACUGCAGCCAACAUGCUGCUGCUGUGGGUGAGCCAGGUGGGGCUGAAGCAACAGGUGAGGUUAACAGCAAACACAGGGAGGUGAAGAAGCAGGGCAGGUCAGAAAAGCAGAUUUUUCAGGAAGAGCAGUCCCAUUUCUAUUUGUCUGUGACUUGGAGACAGGACAGCAAGCACAAGCAGCAAGCACAAAGACACUGGAUUUGAUCCAGAGUGGCUAAUGAUGCCUCAAUUUAAGAGUUGGCUGUACCUCACACAGCAAAACUGCAUAAUUUGUGUAAUCAUGAAACAAUAAUGAAAAUAUUUUAAUUUCAUUAUUUUAUUAAUUGUAAUUCUUUGACUGCUGUGUUUGUUUUUUUAGGAAUGUUUUGUCGACUAUGCAGACAACACAAGCCUGUACCUAAGAUAGGCCGCGCAAAUAGGGCUUUUGUUGAGGUUGGAGCCGUUAUAUACAGAAAAGACUACUUGGAACGCCACAUCACUAUGGAGCACCACCAGGACAGUAUCAGAUGCCAGGCAUCUCUUGCCUCUGGCAUCUCAGUCAUAAACUCGUUUGAGCCCACUAUUGUUUUGGAGCAUGAGGCAGUCAUUGGUGGGUUCAAGUGCCUUUACUGGCUCGUAAAAAAUGAACUAGCCCACCACACAAAUUAUCCAAAACUUUUGAGCCUUGGUGAGCUUCUAGGGUGCGACUACUUCAGGAAAUUAAAGAUUGACAGGAGGAAUAACUAUAGAUCUCAUCAUAUUAUUGACGACAUGCUUGAGGUCUUAGCAGAGGUCAUAGAGGAGCCAAUUCUUACUAAAAUUAAACCAUCACAGGGAAUUAGCCUGGAAGUUGAUGAGACUACAGAUGUGUCAGUCGGCAGGCAACUUGACUUGCAUGUCCGAUCCAUAGAUAAAGAGGGACUAGUGUUUAAUCACUUCCUGGAUUUGGUCCAUAUUGCUGAUGGCAAAGCAGACACUAUUGUCGCAACUGUCAAGAAUAUUAUCUUGAAGAAAGGCCUCCCAACCGAAAAACUGUAUGGACUCGGGACUGACGGGGGUUGUCAGUGAUUUGAAAACAAAGGAAGUGAAGGACAAAUGCUGGUUCUCUCAGCAUAAAGCCAUCGAGACCCUACAGAGGAACCUGAGCGCCACCUCUGCCAAUGCUACAAGGACUGCAGAGGUGAGAAGAUGUCCAGGGGCAAUGGGCCUUUACACAUUCUGUGCUACAUAUAGAUUUGUGGUAGCAGUUUACCUCCAAGCUGAUGUUUACCACACCUUGCAUGCCUGUCCAAAGUCUUUCAAAAAGCACAUGUCAACUUUCUACCUAUCAAGGAGCAGACUCUCAGGAGCAUUAGAGAGGCUGGACUGACUCCACUGCCUGGAUCAUUCCUGCCUUCAUCAGGACCUCGAUGAUCCACAAGGACUUGGAGCCUUCAAUAUACAGCAUGAGGAGGAGAGGAAAAGGAGAGGGCAAGAUAUCCACGAAGUGUCGAGGGAGGAGCUGUGGGCCAGAUUCCAGCGAGAUGCCUUAAAACUAAUGAAUUUUCCUUUUCUUCUUCUAAAUGGUCCUCUAUGGCCUGGCCCUUAAAGGAUUAAUUCAUCUCAAAAUAAAAAAACAAAAUUCCUAAACAUUUACUCACCCCAAUGCCACUCAGAUAUGAGUGGAAGAGAAAUUAUGUUUUUGUAGGAAAACAUUUCUGGAUGACCCUUUGAAACUGCAUCGAUUUAGACUUCUACAAUUUGUUUGCCAUUUAAGCCCAUUCUGUGGAGAAACAUCCAGAAAUGCUUUCCUAAAAAGACGUAAUUUCUCUUCCACUGAGGAAAGAAAGACAUGGAUAUCUGGAUGGCAUUGGGGUGAGUAAAUGUUUAGGACAUUUUAAUUUUGAGGUCCUUUAAUGACUGUAGUUAAGGUGGGUGUAGGCUCUUCCUAAAAAUAUGCUGAUGGUCUGUUCAUUGUAGGUCAUCCACCCUUACAUCACUGGCCUGGAAACACACCUGGACAGACGGUUCCAUGAUCUGGACAUUUUUGGGGCCUUCUGUGUUUUGGGACCGCUUGGUAGAGCUACUUCGGAAGAUGAAAUAAUAAAGGUCUCUCAGCUGCAGACUCUUGACAGGAAAUUUUGCCCUGAACAGGAAAAUGAGGUAGUGCAGGAGUGGUUCUAUUUCAAGGUGGGUGUAUCAAAAUGAUUACUAAAUUAAACUAUGAUUCACAACACCAACACAACACAGUAAUGCCAUGAUGGUAAGCCAAAUGUUGUUUCAAGAACAAAGACCAGAAGGAGAUCCUAAGACUGCUGGUGAGUGAGAUUGAUGAGUGGGCCAACCUCUACCCCUGCCUGAACCUUCUUGUAGGCAUAGUUUCCAGUGUAAACAUGUGAACACAAUUUUUCAACAAUAAAUAGGGCAAGAACUUAAAUUUGACAAGCACAACAAAUAAUUAAUCAUUUUUAUUUAUUUUAGUGCAUUUUGUGGUAAUUUUUUUUUUUUUUGCUCUGUCCUUAGGUGAAAACAGACCUCAGAAAUAAGUUGCAAGGAGAACACCUGGCUGCUUGUUUGAGGAUCUCAAUCAAUGGACCCUGUCCUGAGGCAUUCCCUUAUGAUAGGGCAUUGGUGUAUUUUUUUUCAAAAAGCCGCCAAAAAUUAAAUGUCCAAACAAAGGGUGCAAGAUUUGUAGCUAGUCUGUGGAGCAGUCAGCGUAGGAAUGCCUGAUAAGUUAUCUGAUUCUGUUUUGUAAAUUAAAUAUGUGCGCGUCAAUAAAAAUGACAUGAAAUAUUUAACCCUUUUUUUGUUGUCGUCACGACAUGAGGGUGAGUCAUAAAUGACAUAUGACUCACCCUCAUGAUAGUGCAGAAAGAAGGAGCAAUUAGCAGCUAUUAGGGGACCGAGACUAGAAUGGAAAGGAAAUUAUAGUAUGGGAAGAAAAGGAAAAAAACACAAAGAGGAAGGAAAAAGGUAAACACAAAGGGACACAAGGACACUGAAUGAGGUUAAGAAAACCUCCACUCUACCCACUUUUGUGAAUUCGCAAACCAUGGUGAGGAUUAUAUUUGUUACCUCAUGUCGACCGUGGCAGGAGUCCUUGCCAAUCUAUUUUGAGAUCCAACCAUGGGAAGGUCAAUCUUUUCCAUUGUAGUAGCGGUGGUUUAGGUUUUAGGUAGUCGGUGGUUUAGGUUUGCCGGUUUUAACUGGCAACACACAAGGUAUCCUUUUACAUAUUCUGCCAUGUCUUGCUGCAUGCCAGGCCAGAACGCCACUUGCUUGAGCAUUUCUUAGGUGGCCUUGGCACCAUGGUGUCCAGCACAUGGUGCAUCAUGGGCGUGUGUCAGCAUCAUUCCCCUUUGGCCCUGAGGAACUACGAGCUUUGGUGCAGUUAGUGGCUCAGGGAAGAUGCAGUAUGUGCUUGAUUGAGUGAAGUUGGCGGAGGUCAACUGACUUAUCUAGGUCAGGUGAGUGGCAAUGGUUGGUAGCACUGGAGCUGAAGCAUGGAGAGUGAGGAGAUCAUCAACGGCAAAUUGAAGUGAGAGUUAAAUGUGGGAGAAGGUGGGGGUUUGCGCACCAGUGGAGUGCUGGCAGCUAGUCAUGGCUGCCACUGAUGGGGUGGGUGGGAAUGCAGGAAAUGCCCAGGACUCUCUGUGUAAUCACCUGCUUUGGCGAGGGCAUCAGUUUGGUCAUUGAGGUCUUUGUCUUGUACUGGUUGAUGUGAGUGACCGGUGUGGGGAAGAGUUCCUAAUGUUUGAAAGGCUUGUUGUUAACUGUCUUGAAUUCAUUGAGUCUUUUUCCAUCCAGCUAGAUGGCACGUAGACCUUAGGUGGACAUAGUUGGAGUUGGUACAGAUGAGGAGUUCUUUUAUGUUGUGGGAUGUAGCAAGUUGUAGGGUGAUGAGAAUGGCUGCUAUUUCUGCAUAUCGCGAUGAGUGAGAGCCCCAAUUUCUAAACUAAAUCCCCAAUUUUUUUUCAUAAAAAAAUCUGAUUUAUGAUUUGAAUUGAUUUUAAAAUCAAUGUACAAAUGACAAAACAAGUUUUAAUAUAGUUCUUUAUCAUUC